AUUUACCUCUUUAUCAUUCUUCUCCGCAUUGGCAACAUCCUUCGUCAAUUAGCAGUAUCUUCUUAACGGUCAACAUAUUACAGUAUAUAAGUCACGCGAUCCGAGAUCCCAGGAGCGUUCCUACCCGUGGCUUAAAGUUGACAAAACGCGGAACGCCGGGAGGACGAAGAAAAGUGCACGCCGCGACGCCGCAGCCGACGAGGAAUCUGGACUCCGAGCGGUGCCGCAGCUCUAGGAGAAUCCCGGUGCAUCGCGGGCACAAAAUCUCGGGACGUCCGACACAAUAACUUCCAGCGGCGACGACCGGGUCGAGGGAGGCCGUACCGAACGGGGUGAAAGAGGAACGGCCGGAGGAGGAGGAGGAGGAGGUGGUGGCGGUGUAGGAGACGGCGGAGGCGUGGAGGCGGAGGAGGAGGAAGAGGAAGAGGAUACAUGCCGUGACACAAUUUCCGGCGUGUACGUGUGCUGUUCGCCGGCCGCAGAUUCUGCAGUUUAUUACAAAUCGAAGAAACGGGGAGGACCGACCGGCGAGGGCGGUCGAGGAGCUACCCUGAGAUAGCGGUAAUUAAAAGGAACGGUGGAACGGGCGAGGGGGAUCGGUGAACGGCGAGGGAGGCGGCCGAGGAGGCGGAGGAUGGGCGAGAGCGCAUGACGCAAAGGCGCGGGUCAGCUAACGUUAAGAAUAUUCAUGAAAAAAACAGUGGAAAGCUUGCGCCCUAAAGGAUCCCCUUUCUCAUUCAAAACAGCGCGAAAGAAACACGAGGGCUGCCGUCGCUCUUGGAUGCAAAUAAACGCUGUCCCUCUACCGAACGCGCUCUCCGGUGACUGAAAAACUUUCCGACACGCGCGCGAGCCACGACUAAUUAACGAUUAGACGGGAGAGCACGGCAAAGGGGGACCCUCUUUCGCGGAGAAACCGAGCUCGCCUCGCGGGAACCGAUCCGCGGACUUUUCCGUGAAUUCUUCGAUCCGCGAUUCUAUCGAUCGAAGUCGAUCGUUUCGGUACAGUGACUCUCGGGCCGCCGUUUCGUCGGGGACAAAGCGGUCCGCGAACGAUCCAGGCCAGUGGGAGAACCGGUGAAUCACCGGGACACGCUUCUCGCUGCUUUCGUUUUCGGCAAAAAGAUCGUUCGAGGGGAGAGGGGUCGGGUGAAAGGGAACUCACCGCGGUAAAUCAUAAUCGCGUCGACCUAGCGCAUAGCUAAUAGGAAACAGAGCUGAAAUUUUUCGGGAAAAGGAGCGGCGAGAAGUGGCCGCCGUUCGGCGCAUCUGUUACGUCACUUUGUCGGGAACAGGCUGCCGGGUUGCAUAGAUUAUGAUAAUCGCCGGAAUCCCUGGACGCUGAUAGCGAACUCGGGCGAUUCGAGCUGCUGAUCGAAUUCCAGAUCCGCGUGCAAUAUAAGCCCCGCGUUCAAGAGUACCUCGGCUGUUCAGUGUGAAUUGUUCCAUCGACGCUGCAGCAUUCGAAACUAUUCGACAGCUUCAAAGGAGGAAAUUCGUCUCGAGUCUCGACGAUCGGGGAUUCCCCGGAAGUACCGGCUAAUUGAAUCUACGGAGGAAGUUAGGAACUCGAUAGUCAAAAAGUUUGAGUCAACUUCGAAGUCGUUCCGAAGAAACCAGCGAGUUAGAGGGUA